rnacentral:rRNA from 1 species
AUAUGGUCGACCUGCAGGCGGCCGCGAAUUCACUAGUGAUUCGUAUUACCGCGGCUGCUGGCACAGAGUUAGCCGGUGCUUAUUCUGCGGGUACCGUCAUAGCAACGAGUUAUUCGCUCGUUACCUUUCUUCCCCACCUAAAGUGCUUUACAACCCGAAGGCCUUCUUCACACACGCGGCAUCGCUGGAUCAGGGUUUCCCCCAUUGUCCAAGAUUCCCCACUGCUGCCUCCCGUAGGAGUCUGGGCCGUGUCUCAGUCCCAGUGUGGCUGGUCAUCCUCUCAGACCAGCUACGGAUCGUCGCCUUGGUAGGCUUUUACCCCACCAACUAGCUAAUCCGACGUAGGCUCACCCCAGAGCGCAAGGCCUUUCGGUCCCCUGCUUUUGAUCUCUCGAUAUCAUGUGGUAUUAGCCCGAGUUUCCUCGGGUUAUCCCACGCUCCAGGACAGAUUCCUACGUGUUACUCACCCGUCCGCCACUCGCCACCCCAUAAAGACCGAAAUCUUUACUGUGCUGCCGUUCGACUUGCAUGUGUUAGGCAUGCCGCCAGCGUUCAAUCUGAGCCAGGAUCAAACUCUAAUCGAAUUCCCGCGGCCGCC